CCGAACCCGACCCGAACCCGAAGUUAUUCAACCCGUACUUGACCCGAACCCGAAUUUCCAUUUCGGGUCCGGUUCGGGUUAACCCGAAAUUUUUGGCAUUUUUUAGUGUAAAAUUUUCGGGUCACCCGAACCGGACCUGAUCUACUUGAAAAUUUCGGGUUCAGAUCAGGUUCGGGUCAAACCCGAAAUGGAAAUUCGGGUUCGGGUCAAGUACGGGUUG